UUUAUUGGAGAGUUUGAUCCUGGCUCAGGAUGAACGCUGGCGGCGUGCCUAAUACAUGCAAGUCGAGCGAAUGGAUUAAGAGCUUGCUCUUAUGAAGUUAGCGGCGGACGGGUGAGUAACACGUGGGUAACCUGCCCAUAAGACUGGGAUAACUCCGGGAAACCGGGGCUAAUACCGGAUAACAUUUUGAACCGCAUGGUUCGAAAUUGAAAGGCGGCUUCGGCUG
rnacentral:rRNA from 2 species